rnacentral:rRNA from 1 species
AGAGUUUGAUCCUGGCUCAGGAUGAACGCUGGCGGCGUGCUUAACACAUGCAAGUCGAACGAUGAUCCCAGCUUGCUGGGGGAUUAGUGGCGAACGGGUGAGUAACACGUGAGUAACCUGCCCUUAACUCUGGGAUAAGCCUGGGAAACUGGGUCUAAUACCGGAUAUGACUCCUCAUCGCAUGGUGGGGGGUGGAAAGCUUUAUUGUGGUUUUGGAUGGACUCGCGGCCUAUCAGCUUGUUGGUGAGGUAAUGGCUCACCAAGGCGACGACGGGUAGCCGGCCUGAGAGGGUGACCGGCCACACUGGGACUGAGACACGGCCCAGACUCCUACGGGAGGCAGCAGUGGGGAAUAUUGCACAAUGGGCGAAAGCCUGAUGCAGCGACGCCGCGUGAGGGAUGACGGCCUUCGGGUUGUAAACCUCUUUCAGUAGGGAAGAAGCGAAAGUGACGGUACCUGCAGAAGAAGCGCCGGCUAACUACGUGCCAGCAGCCGCGGUAAUACGUAGGGCGCAAGCGUUAUCCGGAAUUAUUGGGCGUAAAGAGCUCGUAGGCGGUUUGUCGCGUCUGCCGUGAAAGUCCGGGGCUCAACUCCGGAUCUGCGGUGGGUACGGGCAGACUAGAGUGAUGUAGGGGAGACUGGAAUUCCUGGUGUAGCGGUGAAAUGCGCAGAUAUCAGGAGGAACGCCGAUGGCGAAGGCAGGUCUCUGGGCAUUAACUGACGCUGAGGAGCGAAAGCAUGGGGAGCGAACAGGAUUAGAUACCCCAGUAGUCC